GAUGAACGCUGGCGGCGUGCCUAAUACAUGCAAGUCGAGCGAACGGACGAGAAGCUUGCUUUUCUGAUGUUAGCGGCGGACGGGUGAGUAACACGUGGAUAACCUACCUAUAAGACUGGGAUAACUUCGGGAAACCGGAGCUAAUACCGGAUAAUAUUUUGAACCGCAUGGUUCAAAAGUGAAAGACGGUCUUGCUGUCACUUAUAGAUGGAUCCGCGCUGCAUUAGCUAGUUGGUAAGGUAACGGCUUACCAAGGCAACGAUGCAUAGCCGACCUGAGAGGGUGAUCGGCCACACUGGAACUGAGACACGGUCCAGACUCCUACGGGAGGCAGCAGUAGGGAAUCUUCCGCAAUGGGCGAAAGCCUGACGGAGCAACGCCGCGUGAGUGAUGAAGGUCUUCGGAUCGUAAAACUCUGUUAUUAGGGAAGAACAUAUGUGUAAGUAACUGUGCACAUCUUGACGGUACCUAAUCAGAAAGCCACGGCUAACUACGUGCCAGCAGCCGCGGUAAUACGUAGGUGGGCAGCGUUAUCCGGAAUUAUUGGGCGUAAAGCGCGCGUAGGCGGUUUUUUAGUCUGAAUGUGAAAGCCCACGGCUCAACCGUGGAGGGUCAUUGGAAACUGGAAAACUUGAGUGCAGAAGAGGAAAGUGGAAUUCCAUGUGUAGCGGUGAAAUGCGCAGAGAUAUGGAGGAACACCAGUGGCGAAGGCGACUUUCUGGUCUGUAACUGACGCUGAUGUGCGAAAGCGUGGGGAUCAAACAGGAUUAGAUACCCUGGUAGUCCACGCCGUAAACGAUGAGUGCUAAGUGUUAGGGGGUUUCCGCCCCUUAGUGCUGCAGCUAACGCAUUAAGCACUCCGCCUGGGGAGUACGACCGCAAGGUUGAAACUCAAAGGAAUUGACGGGGACCCGCACAAGCGGUGGAGCAUGUGGUUUAAUUCGAAGCAACGCGAAGAACCUUACCAAAUCUUGACAUCCUUUGACAACUCUAGAGAUAGAGCCUUCCCCUUCGGGGGACAAAGUGACAGGUGGUGCAUGGUUGUCGUCAGCUCGUGUCGUGAGAUGUUGGGUUAAGUCCCGCAACGAGCGCAACCCUUAAGCUUAGUUGCCAUCAUUAAGUUGGGCACUCUAAGUUGACUGCCGGUGACAAACCGGAGGAAGGUGGGGAUGACGUCAAAUCAUCAUGCCCCUUAUGAUUUGGGCUACACACGUGCUACAAUGGACAAUACAAAGGGCAGCGAAACCGCGAGGUCAAGCAAAUCCCAUAAAGUUGUUCUCAGUUCGGAUUGUAGUCUGCAACUCGACUACAUGAAGCUGGAAUCGCUAGUAAUCGUAGAUCAGCAUGCUACGGUGAAUACGUUCCCGGGUCU
rnacentral:rRNA from 1 species